CCUUGCCGCCGGCGACCGGCGCACGGGUGAGUAACGCGUAUGCGACCUGCCCGUUGCAGGGGGAUAAUCGGGAGAAAUCCCGUCUAAUACCGCGUAACGCCGCGGGGCUGCAUGGCCCUGCGGCCAAAGGGAGCGAUUCCGGCAACGGAUGGGCAUGCGUGACAUUAGCUAGUUGGCGGGGCAACGGCCCACCAAGGCGACGAUGUCUAGGGGUUCUGAGAGGAAGGUCCCCCACACUGGUACUGAGACACGGACCAGACUCCUACGGGAGGCAGCAGUGAGGAAUAUUGGUCAAUGGGCGCGAGCCUGAACCAGCCAAGUCGCGUGAGGGAUGACGGCCCUACGGGUUGUAAACCUCUUUUGUCGGGGAGCAAAUUCCGUUACGUGUAACGGAGUCGAGAGUACCCGAAGAAAAAGCAUCGGCUAACUCCGUGCCAGCAGCCGCGGUAAUACGGAGGAUGCGAGCGUUAUCCGGAUUUAUUGGGUUUAAAGGGUGCGUAGGCGGACUGUCAAGUCAGCGGUAAAAUACGGGGGCUCAACCUCCGCCCGCCGUUGAAACUGACGGUCUUGAGUGGGCGAGAAGUAUGCGGAAUGCGUGGUGUAGCGGUGAAAUGCAUAGAUAUCACGCAGAACUCCGAUUGCGAAGGCAGCAUACCGGCGCCCAACUGACGCUGAAGCACGAAAGCGUGGGUAUCGAACAGGAUUAGAUACCCUGGUAGUCCACGCAGUAAACGAUGAAUACUAGCUGUCCGGGGCGAAUGAGCCCUGGGUGGCACAGCGAAAGC
rnacentral:rRNA from 1 species